rnacentral:rRNA from 1 species
CAGUAGCCGCGGUAAUACGAAGGGUGCAAGCGUUACUCGGAAUUACUGGGCGUAAAGCGUGCGCAGGUGGUGGUUUAAGUCCGUUGUGAAAGCCCUGGGCUCAACCUGGGAAUUGCAGUGGAUACUGGGUCACUAGAGUGUGGUAGAGGAUAGUGGAAUUUCCGGUGUAGCAGUGAAAUGCGUAGAGAUCGGAAGGAACAUCUGUGGCGAAGGCGACUAUCUGGGCCAACACUGACACUGAGGCACGAAAGCGUGGGGAGCAAACAGGAUUAGAUACCCCCGUAGUCCCUGUCUCUUAUAC